rnacentral:rRNA from 1 species
UACGGGGGGGGCAAGCGUUGUUCGGAAUUACUGGGCGUAAAGGGCUCGUAGGCGGCCAACUAAGUCAGACGUGAAAUCCCCUCGGCUUAACCGGGGAACUGCGUCUGAUACUGGAUGGCUUGAAUCCGGGAGAGGGAUGCGGAAUUCCAGGUGUAGCGGUGAAAUGCGUAGAUAUCUGGAGGAACACCGGUGGCGAAGGCGGCAUCCUGGACCGGCAUUGACGCUGAGGAGCGAAAGCCAGGGGAGCAAAGCGGG